rnacentral:snoRNA from 1 species
GCCCUCUCAGGGUUGCACCUGGAGAGUUUCCAGGAUACUACCAGUCUCGGCUAUGGGAGGAAGAGUCAAGCAGAGGCCUCCCCAUUCCGUUCCUAGUUUGGCCAGUGGCUAGCGAGCGGAAGGCAAUCUGCUACAAGU